GUAGAUAUAUGGAGGAACNCCGGUGGCGAAAGCGGCUCUCUGGCUUGUAACUGACGCUGAGGCUCGAAAGCGUGGGGAGCAAACAGGAUUAGAUACCNUGGUAGUCCACGCCGUAAACGAUGAGUGCUAGGUGUUAGACCCUUUCCGGGGUUUAGUGCCGCAGCUAACGCAUUAAGCACUCCGCCUGGGGAGUACGACCGCAAGGUUGAAACUCAAAGGAAUUGACGGGGGCCCGCACAAGCGGUGGAGCAUGUGGUUUAAUUCGAAGCAACGCGAAGGACCUUACCAGGUCUUGACAUCCCUCUGACCGCUCUAGAGAUAGAGUUUUCCUUCGGGACAGAGGUGACAGGUGGUGCAUGGUUGACGUCAGCUCGUGUCGUGAGAUGUUGGGUUAAGUCNNGCAACGAGCGCAACCCCUAUUGUUAGUUGCCAUCAUUUAGUUGGGCACUCUAGCGAGACUGCCGGUAAUAAACCGGAGGAAGGUGGGGAUGACGUCAAAUCAUCAUGCCCCUUAUGACCUGGGCUACACACGUGCUACAAUGGCUGGUACAACGAGUCGCAAGCCGGUGACGGCAAGCUAAUCUCUUAAAGCCAGUCUCAGUUCGGAUUGUAGGCUGCAACUCGCCUACAUGAAGUCGGAAUCGCUAGUAAUCGCGGAUCAGCACGCCGCGGUGAAUACGUUCCCGGGCCUUGU
rnacentral:rRNA from 1 species